rnacentral:rRNA from 1 species
GAUGAACGCUGGCGGCGUGCUUAACACAUGCAAGUCGAACGAACCUUCGGGUUAGUGGCGGACGGGUGAGUAACGCGUGAGAAUCUGCCCUCAGGAGGGGGAUAACGGUUGGAAACGGCCGCUAAUACCCCAUAUGCCGCGAGGUGAAAUGAAUUUCGCCUGAGGAUGAGCUCGCGUCUGAUUAGCUAGUUGGUGUAGGUAAUGGCUCACCAAGGCAUCGAUCAGUAGCUGGUCUGAGAGGAUGAUCAGCCACACUGGGACUGAGACACGGCCCAGACUCCUACGGGAGGCAGCAGUGGGGAAUCUUAGACAAUGGGGGCAACCCUGAUCUAGCCAUGCCGCGUGAGUGAUGAAGGCCUUAGGGUCGUAAAGCUCUUUCGCCUGUGAUGAUAAUGACAGUAGCAGGUAAAGAAACCCCGGCUAACUCCGUG